UGAGGAAUAUUGCACAAUGAGCGAAAGCUAGAUGCAGCAACGCCGCGUGGACGAUGAAGGCCUUCGGGUCGUAAAGUCCUUUUCAGGGGGACGAGUGAGGACGGUACCCCUGGAAUAAGUCACGGCUAACUACGUG
rnacentral:rRNA from 1 species